GUGCCUGCUUUGGCAACACACAUACUAAAACUGGAAUGAUACAGAGAAUAUUAGCAUGGCUGCUGUGCAUGGAUGACAUGGAAACUUGCGAAGCAUUCCAUGAGAAA
ensembl:snRNA U6 U6 spliceosomal RNA